UACGUAGGUGCAAGCGUUAUCCGGAAUGACUGGGUGUAAAGGGAGCGUAGACGGUUGUUCAAGUCUGAUGUGAAAGCCCUCGGCUUAACUGGGGGAGUGCAUUGGAAACUGAAGGACUAGAGUAUCGGAGAGGCAAGUGGAAUUCCUAGUGUAGCGGUGAAAUGCGUAGAUAUUAGGAGGAACACCAGUGGCGAAGGCGGCUUGCUGGACGAAAACUGACGUUGAGGCUCGAAAGCGUGGGGAGCAAACAGG
rnacentral:rRNA from 1 species